rnacentral:lncRNA from 1 species
UUAUUGUAUUUAAAUGAGAUUUUCUAUUAUCAUCUUUUGUAUUGUUAACUUAUGAUUAUGACUUCUUAGAUAUUUAUGAAUGAAUUUUUAUUCAAUUAAAAGUUACUCUAAUACCUGCUAUAGGAUCGUAGCCCAUGAUCUACUUCUCCCAUUUAUUAAAAAUUUUACUAUUUAUAAACUCUCUUUAAUCUAUUUUUGAUAAUGUCAAAAAGGGGGAGAAAUAAGAAAGAGAGAAAGAGGGAGUUUUUAUAGUUUUUAUAAGUUGGUUAUGUGACU